rnacentral:misc_RNA from 1 species
GAUGAAGAACGCAGCGAAAUGCGAUAAGUAAUGUGAAUUGCAGAAUUCAGUGAAUCAUCGAAUCUUUGAACGCACCUUGCGCCCUUUGGCCAUUCCGAAGGGCAUGCCUGUUUGAGUAUCAUGAACACCUCAACUCUUCAUGGUUUUCCAUGAUGAGCUUGGACUUUGGGGGUCUUGCUGGCCUGUGGGUCGGCUCCUCUCAAAUGAAUCAGCUUGCCGGUUUUUGGUGGGCAUCACAGGUGUGAUAACUAUCUACGCUUGUGGUUUUCCACCAGGGUAACCUUCAGCAGUGGAGGUUCACUGGAGCUUACAAAUGUCUCUCCUCUGUGAGGACAGACCUUUGAAUGUUUGAUCUCAAAUCAGGUAGGACUACCCGCUGAACUUAAGCAUAUCAAUAAGCGGAGGA